rnacentral:rRNA from 1 species
GAUGAACGCUGGCGGCGUGCCUAAUACAUGCAAGUCGAGCGAACAGAUGAGGAGCUUGCUCCUCUGACGUUAGCGGCGGACGGGUGAGUAACACGUGGAUAACCUACCUAUAAGACUGGGAUAACUUCGGGAAACCGGAGCUAAUACCAGAUAAUAUAUUGAACCGCAUGGUUCAAUAGUGAGAGACGGUUUUGCUGUCACUUAUAGAUGGAUCCGCGCCGCAUUAGCUAGUUGGUAAGGUAACGGCUUACCAAGGCGACGAUGCGUAGCCGACCUGAGAGGGUGAUCGGCCACACUGGAACUGAGACACGGUCCAGACUCCUACGGGAGGCAGCAGUAGGGAAUCUUCCGCAAUGGGCGAAAGCCUGACGGAGCAACGCCGCGUGAGUGAUGAAGGUCUUCGGAUCGUAAAACUCUGUUAUUAGGGAAGAACAAAUGUGUAAGUAACUAUGCACGUCUUGACGGUACCUAAUCAGAAAGCCACGGCUAACUACGUG